rnacentral:rRNA from 1 species
AUUGAACGCUGGCGGCAUGCCUAACACAUGCAAGUCGAGCGGAGCGGCGGACGGGUGAGUAAUGCCUAGGAAUCUGCCUGGUAGUGGGGGAUAACGUCCGGAAACGGGCGCUAAUACCGCAUCCUAUCAGAUGAGCCUAGGUCGGAUUAGCUAGUUGGUGGGGUAAAGGCCUACCAAGGCGACGAUCCGUAACUGGUCUGAGAGGAUGAUCAGUAAAACUGGAACUGAGAAAGGGCCUAGACUCCUAGGGGAGGGAGCAGUGGGGAAUAUUGGAAAAUGGGCGAAAGUGUGAGCGAGCCAUGCCGCGUGUGAGAAGAAGGUCUGCGGAUUGUAAAGCUCUUUAAGUUGGGAGGCGUUACCAACAGAAUAAGCACCGGCUAACUUCGUGCCAGCAGCCGCGUAAUAC